UCCCCGUUAUCCGGGGCGGUUUCGCUAGAGUGCCCGACUUGACUCGCUGGCAACUAACGAUAAGGGUUGCGCUCGUUGCGGGACUUAACCCAACAUCUCACGACACGAGCUGACGACAGCCAUGCAGCACCUGUGUACUGGUUCUCUUUCGAGCACUCCCCGAUCUCUCAGGGAUUCCAGCCAUGUCAAGGGUAGGUAAGGUUUUUCGCGUUGCAUCGAAUUAAUCCACAUCAUCCACCGCUUGUGCGGGUCCCCGUCAAUUCCUUUGAGUUUUAAUCUUGCGACCGUACUCCCCAGGCGGUCGACUUCACGCGUUAGCUGCGGUACUAAGGAAGUCUCCUUCCCCAACACCUAGUCAUCAUCGUUUAGGGCGUGGACUAC
rnacentral:misc_RNA from 1 species